UUGAACGCUGGCGGCAGGCCUAACACAUGCAAGUCGAGCGGAUGAAGGGAGCUUGCUCCUGGAUUCAGCGGCGGACGGGUGAGUAAUGCCUAGGAAUCUGCCUGGUAGUGGGGGAUAACGUCCGGAAACGGGCGCUAAUACCGCAUACGUCCUGAGGGAGAAAGUGGGGGAUCUUCGGACCUCACGCUAUCAGAUGAGCCUAGGUCGGAUUAGCUAGUUGGUGGGGUAAAGGCCUACCAAGGCGACGAUCCGUAACUGGUCUGAGAGGAUGAUCAGUCACACUGGAACUGAGACACGGUCCAGACUCCUACGGGAGGCAGCAGUGGGGAAUAUUGGACAAUGGACGAAAGCCUGAUCCAGCCAUGCCGCGUGUGUGAAGAAGGUCUUCGGAUUGUAAAGCACUUUAAGUUGGGAGGAAGGGCAGUAAGUUAAUACCUUGCUGUUUUGACGUUACCAACAGAAUAAGCACCGGCUAACUUCGUG
rnacentral:rRNA from 1 species